CCUGGUUGAUACUACCAGUAGUAAUAUGCUUGUCUCAAAGAUUAAGCUAUACAUGUGUAGGUACGAACAAAUUCAGACUGUGAAACUUCGAAUGGCUCAAUAAAUCAAUUAUAGCUUUUUUGAUGGUAUCUACCACUUGGAUAACCGUAAAAAUUCUUGAGAUAAUACGUGCAACAAACCUCAAAUUAUGGAAGGGAUAUAUUUAUUAGAUAAAAGGUCGACCCAUGCUCUGCCUGUUACUAUGAUGAUUCAUGAUAACUCGACAGAUCGCAUGACCAUCAUGUCGGUGAUACAUCAUUAAAAUUUCUGCCCUAUUAACUUUCAAUGGUAGGAUAGUGGCCUACCAUAGUGAUGACGGGUGAAGGAUAAUUAGGGUUCGAUUUCAGAGAGGGAGCCUACAAAAUGGCUACAACAUUCAAGAAAGGUAGAAGACGUGCAAAUUACCAAAUCCUGACAUGGGGAGGUUGUGACAAUAAAUAACAAUACCGAGCUUACUGAGUCUGGUAAUUGGAAUGAGUACAAUCUAAAUCCCUUAAUGAGAAUCCAUUGGAGGGAAAGUUUGGUGCCAGUAGCCACGGUAAUUCUAGCUCCAAUAGCGUAUAUUUAAGUUGUUGCAGUUAAAAAGCACGUAGUUGGACUUUGGGAUAGGCCGGCCAGUCCGCCUAUGGUAUGUAUCGAUCAUCUUGUCCUUUUUGUCAGUGAUGCACUCCUAGACUUAACUAGUCGGGUCGUGCCUCCAGUGCUGUUACUUUGAAGAAUUAGAGAGCACAGAGCAAGCCUACCUCUAUAUACAUUAACAUGGGAUAACUUUAUAGGAUUUCAGUCCUAUUAUGUUGGACUUCGGGAUCAGAUUAAUGAUUAAUGGGGAUAGUCGGGAAAAUCCAUAUUUCAUAGUCAGAGGAGAAAUUCUUGGACAUAUGAAAGAUGAACAACCGCGGAAUCAUUUGCCAAGGAUGUUUUCAUUAAUCAAUAACGAAAGUUAGGGGCUCGAAGAUGAUCAGAUACCAUUCUAGUCUCAACCAUAAAUGAUGUCGACCAGGGAUCGGUGAAUGAUAUUUUUAGGACUCCGCCGGCACCCUAUGAGAAAUCAAAGAUUUUGGAUUCCAGAGGGAGUACGGUCGCCAGAAUUAAACUUAAAGAAAUUGACGAAAGGGAACCAUCAAGAGUAGAGCCUGCAACUUAAUCUGACUCAACACGGGGAAACUUACCAGGUCCAUACAUAGUAAGGAUUGACAGACUGAGAGCUCUUUCUUAAUUCUAUGGGUGGUGGUGCAUGGCCGUUCUUAGUAUGUGGAGAAAUUUGUCUGUUUAAUUCCAUUAACGAAUGAGACUUCAAACUGCUAACUAGCUAUGUGGAGGUAUCCCUUCACGAACAACUUCUUAAAGGGACUGCGACCUUUAAGGCCACGGAAGUUUGAGGCAAUAAUCGGUCUAUGAUGCCCUUAGAUAUUUUGUUCCGCACGUGCUACAUUGAUGUAUUCAAUGAGUUUAUAGAAUUGGCCGACAGGCCUGGGUAAUCUUUGAAAUUUCAUUAUGAUGGGGAUAGAUCACUGCAAUUAUUAGUCUUCAAUGCGGAAUUCCUAGUAAGCGUGAGUCAACAGCUACCAUUGACUACGUCCCUACCCUUUGUACACUCCGCCGUUGCUCCUACCAAUUUAAUAAUCUGGUGAAAUUUUUGGAUCAUGGCGAUGUGGGUGGAUCGUUGCCCGCAACGUCACGAGAAGUCUAUUGGACCUUAUCAUUUAGACGAAGGCAAAGUCCUACCAAGGUUUCCAUUGGUAAACCUGCGGAAG
rnacentral:rRNA from 1 species